rnacentral:lncRNA from 1 species
GUGAGGUUUUUUGUUUUAGUCCUAAAGAAUCAAUGUUUGUAGCCUCUCUGUUGGCACCACAGAAAAUUAGAAUGCAAUUUGAGAAAACAAUAAUGAAAAUAUGCAGUUUUUUCUUAUGAUCUUUCCUUGUCCCAUUUUUCUCCCAUUCCUCAGUAAAAUCAAGUCACUAUGGAAACCUUAUCAUGUACCUUCAGUCAAUUUUCAUAGCUAUAUCAACAGAUGUGGCGUCAGGAAGAAAUUGCCCCGGUACAUUAAUUAGUGGCCAAUGGGUGGGGACUGAGGAUAAGCAUUCACACAGCUACUAAAAGGACCACUAUGAUAAACAAUGCAAAAGAUGUUAAAUAGGCUUGUAUUUUUCUCCCAAUAGUCAUGGCUUUUAAAAGGGUUUUCACAAAUCCAGAAGUGGUAAGAUGUCAAAGCAGCUUGACUCAAAGCUAAAAUGGAUACAUUUAUCAUUAAUACCUUAGUGAAUUUUCCCAAUUAGAAAUGAAAUGUUUUCAGAGAUAAGAACAUGAAAACUCUAUUUAUUGGCCCUGGAAUUUUUUCUCUUUCUAACCAAGAUAAGAAAUUUCUGUUUCCUUAUCUGUGGAAUAUAAGUAUUUAUGACUAUUAUCUCUAUAAGAGGAAACCUUGAGAAAAAAAAUGUUAUCCAGCCAACUGACCAAGAGUAAGAUUUUUAUGAGUUUAAAGAACAUUUAGAUUUCCCUAGGCCUGAGGAAAUUUAUGAUUAGAAGAUAAAUAGUAUAUAAAAAAAUUGGGCGUUCAGGUUCCGGUAAACAAUUAUUUCAUUGUGAUUUUAUGCUAUAAACAUAAAAAAUGCAAAGAAGUAAUUGUAAGUUAAAAUUACAUACAAAAAAUACAAAUUCUGAUGUCUCUUUAACAUUUAUUUUCUUAAAAUAUUGAUUUAGAAUUGAAUUCUCUCAAAAAGGACUUCAGAAAUUCAGUCAACUAUUUGAAGUGUUUACAAUAGUAACCACUUGUUUUGAACAUUUGCACAUUCUGAAUUAGUGGUCUGAAUAGAUGAAGCUUGAAAGUUUUCCUGAAAUUUAAAAUUAGUUGAUCAAUAAUGAAAUACAACAUCUAGUGAAAUGGAUGUGAAUUUCCUUGUAAAGUCUACCAAAGAAUAAAAUGGUAUUGAAAUCUGGUUGGGGCACCUGGGUGGCUCAGUGGUUGAUCAUCUGUGUUUGGCCCAGGUCAUGAUCCUGGGGUCCUGGGAUCUAGUCUUGUAUCAGGCUUCCUACAAGGAGCCUGCUUCUCCCUCUGCAUAUAUCUCUGCCUCUCUUUCUGUAUGUCUCAUGAAUAAAUAAAUAAAAUCUAAAAAAUAAUAAAAUAAAAUAAUAAAAUAAAAAAAUAAAAUAAAAUAAAAUAAUAAAAUAAAAUAAAAUAAAAUAAAAUAAGAAGAAUCUGGCUAUCUCUGAGAUCCUGUGGAACCCAACAAAAACUGAUCUUUUAAAAGGGAGAGAGAAAUGCAUUCUAUAUGCACAGGAGAGUUUUUCAAUGAAAAAACUAACCACUUGGCUUUUUACUACUCGAAAUCAGGCUUUUAAAUGGACAGAACGUUUGAUUCUUUGACGAAUGUUGCUUUAAAUACUUUUUUUAAUGUUUGGAUUUAUAAAUACAAAGAUGACUACCUAUAGCAAUUUGUCAGAUAGUUUAGCUCUGUAAAGGUCACUUUGAGUUUAGUUGGCCUCUGCAAUAUGUAAACAGGGACUGAAAGACACCUGGUUCAGCCUAGUGCUAUGCUGAUUAUGUCUUAAAUAACAAUUGUUCUCACUAUGACCAGUAGGACAGCCUUCAACAGGUGGCUUAUUUUGUUUUUCAGAAAAAUAGUAAUUGUGUGUGCAUGGAGAAAGAUAAUGUGUGUGUGGAGAGUAGAAAAACUGAGAGAGAAAAGGACUUCUAUCAAAAUAAAGAAAUUACCUCUCAAAUAAUAUUAGUGAACAGGAAAAAGAGAGGGAGAGUAAAAUAACCACCUAGAAGCUGUAUCACUGUAUUUUCACAGUUUGAUCAAAAUGUGUGGCUGAAGGAGGCAGACUGGAACAAUAACAAUGCCAUGUAUUAAUACAGCAUUUUUUUCUAAAAAGCUGUUAACACAUUGUGGUCAUCUCUGGCUUUUUCCCAAGCUGCAAUCUAAAGAGCUCCUGAAAAGUACUGAGUACUUUUCUGGAAAUUUGCUAUGCCAUAUCAAGCUACUCUAAAAAUGGACAUUUACUGAACAUAUUCUGGGCCUCGUGAAACUUUAUUAACCAACAUCUUUGCAUUCAGUUCCUAUGUUGACCAAAUCUCUCCUUAUACACAGAUACACACACACGCCCCUGUGCACGCACACACACACACACACACACACACAUCUACUGAAACUCAGCGGUUCAACUCAAGGGUAAAUUACUCAUGCAGCUUAAGUGUACAGAGCAGAGAAAAAUGCAGUUUAGUUCAUCUUCAGCCAGAGGAAGGAAACUUUCCAUGCCAGCUGACCUCUUUUCUUCCUUCAGCAAAAGGUCAAGAGUCUUUUUCAUUUGGCUGGUGACGAUAAAGUUGAGCAAUGGUUUCUAAAAUAUUGUUUAUGUGGCAAGAAAUUAUCUCUUUUUAAUAAUUUGAGGCAAAGAAAUAGGGAGGGGCUUGGGGGAGAGGAGCAGGUGGAUUGUUUUACAGAUAACAACCUGAAGAAGAAAGGAUCGAAUUGAUUUAUUUGCAUGUAUUCAGAGGGUUCCAGAAAUAGGGAGCUACAAGACCUCAGCUUCCAAUCUAGGACUACAUUGAAAGGUACUCUGUCUUUUAAGGUAAUAGAAAUCUGACGUUUUCUUCACUCCAUAGUAGUUCAGCUUACUAAAAGUAAAUUUUAAAAGAUUAUGUUGCCCAAGAAAUUUACCUGUUUAUUUAAUAAGCUCUCUACUCCUCUUUUCAGAGAAUAGUGUUACAUGUUUUUAAACAUUGAAUUUCACAAAUAAUGCAUGACACUGUCAUUGCCAUAUUAUGUUUGCUAUAGGUAAGAGGCACCCAUCCAUUAAUCAUAACCAGAUUUUCCAGACUAAAAUAUCAGAGAAAAUAAACUGUUAACUUUUAUUCAUUGACUUAAUGGUUCACUCAUCCUUUCAAAAAAUUAAUGUGUACUUAAUAUGCACUAGGCAUUAGGCUUGGUGAUAUAAACAAAGGAGUGAACAAGACAGACUGAGGAAAGGUGAUUAUAUUAGGCCAUCCAAAAUGGAUGAUUACUAUUCCCAGAGACUCAGAAAUCAGAAGAAUAAUGUGUAUCUUCCAACCCAAUUAGCUUUCUCUGGAGAGAAAAGAAAUCUACAUUUAUUAUAAGAUACUCUACUCUUCUUGAUAUAGUCAUAACCCUCAUGAUAGAAGUUAAUACUGGAGAUGCCAGCCUCCAGUGUGCUCCCCACUUUUUAUAGAUUUUAACAACCAUACAUGUGUUGAUGAUGCUCAAAGCUUUAUUUCAGGCCACAGCCUUGUGUUCCAGACUCACAAACUCAACUGAGAAGUCAACAUCUCUUCUUGGAUACCUACUUCUAGGCAUCUCAAAUUUAAUACAUUCAAAACAAAACUUCAUUUGUAACCCCUGGAUUCCCUAUCUUAGUAAAUAGCAACUACAUUAACUCAGUUGCCUAACUGAAAAAUCCACUCACCCUUGUGGAUUUGCUUUUUCAUAUCAGAGGUCUCAAAAAUUCAGGCUCCUUGCAAUUGCAGUCAGGCAAAGGAGUCUGGACAACAGCACAUGGUGGCCCUGGGAAACUGGUACAGUACUCUGCCUUAGGCCUUAGGCCCAGAGAUUUUAUAGGGUCCUUUUAGAGGAAAACAAGGAAAAACAGGCUGUUGCAAAUUGGAUGAUAUGAAGAAUAUGCACAUAGGAAAAAGUCAUAGUGUUUUUUGUUUUUUUUUUAAGAUUUUAUUUAUUCAUGAGGGACACAGAGAGAGAGAGAGGUAGAGACAUAGGCAGAGGGAGAAGCAGGCUCCAUGCAGCGAACCUGAUGUGGGACUCGAUCCCAGGUCUCCAGGAUCAGGCCCUGGGCCAAAGGCGGCACUAAACUGCUGAGCUACCCGGGCUGCCCAAUCAUAGUUCUUGAAAGAGAAUCUUACACUUGCAUAGAAAAUCCAAUGUUCCACAACUUCCCUCAAAAUGUUUUAACUGACUUGUAAAAAUUGCUUUUAAUUUCUCAUUACUUAUUUAGUCCUAUGUUUUGUAACAAAACAAAAGCUUUUAGAGAUAAAGCAAGUCUGGGAAUAUGUUAAGAUUGUUAACUACUGUUGAAUAGAAAAUUGUUGAGGGUAGGAAAAUUCCUCCUUAAAAAUUUGGAAGCAUCAUAGAAAGCUAUGGCUUUUUGGCAAACAGAAUCAAAAAUAGGAGAAUCUACAGUUUAUGUAAUUAUCUAAAGGAAAUCCUAAAGUUUAUUUUGGUUUUCUCCUAGUCUGUCAUUGUAAGACAGCAAUUCUCAAAGUGUGAUCUGGGUACUCCUGAACAUCUUGGAAACUCUUUCAGGGGCCCCAUAAGGUCAAUGUUAUUUUCUUCACCAUAAUAUAAGAUGUUAUUUUCCUUUUUCAUUCUCAUUUUCUCACAACUCUACACGGCAGUUUUCUGGAGGUUACAUAGUGUGUGAUAUUGUGACAAAUCAGAUUAAAUGGAGAAUCAGAUAUGCAAAUGCAGCUGUCUUCUCUUAAGCCAAGCAUUAGAAAUAUUUGCAAAUAUGAAAACAAGACCAUUCUCAUUGCUAAAUAUUUUUCUUAUAGAAAAUGUAGUUAUUUUGGUAAAAACUUUAUCAUUUAUAUUAACAAGCAGUAGAUAUGCUACUGUUCUUUUUUAUUGAAUAAAUAACUACUUAAUAAAUUCUUAAUUUCUAAUAAAUAUCUAUACAUAUAAGCAUAUAACCAAAGCUCUCCCUCCUCACUAAUUUUUAGGAGUAUGAUGGGGUCCAUAAAGUUUGAGAAUUGCUGAUCUAAGACACUAAACUAUCAACAAAUAGAUUCCUAAAUAAAUAUCUUAUAACUUAAAUUUAAGAAGAUGAAGACAUAGUUAAAAAUACCUUGGUUACUUUAGCUAGAUUUGUUUCUGAGGGCUCCAAGAAAAUGACGAUUUUUUUUUCAUUCAUUAUAUCUUCCUCUUUCCACAAUGUUUUUAGUGUACACUCAGACAAUUGUUUCAGCUUACUUGCACAGGCAAUUAACUAAAGCUUUCCAACCCGAAUCCAAAUGGGAACCCAUGUGAAAAUCUUAAGAUCUAACACUGUGGUCAUGAGCACAGGCUCCAGGAAAAGUGCCUAAAUUUACUCAGCCCUUCUACGCCUAGGUUUCUUUCAUUUUAAAGUGUAGGUAUCACUAAUACCUAAUUCGGAGGGCUGGUAAGAAGAUUAAAUAAUUUCAUACUUCUAAGUCCAGAAUGGUGCUAGGUACAUUUGAUAAGUGUUAGGUACUAUUAGAGUUAACAUAGAAAUGUUAGCUACUAUGAUGAUCAUUACUAGACUAAUACCAAAAUAAGGGAAGUUGACAUCGAUACUUUAGGAAGAUUUAGGAGAUUUCAAAGCAAUUAGAAAUUGAAAGAUAAAUUUAAUCUUACCAUUGAGACAAUAUCCUUUUCUGAUAAAUCAUAUAUGUUUUUGCCCAAGAGUAAACUUCCCUUUCUGGCGUUCUCUCCCAUAAUCAUGUGAUAAGGCUUCAUUAUGUAGAUUAAACAUAUGCCCCAAGAAGAAAACAAAGACUAUGUAUUUUGAAGAUUAGUAAUUAUAGAAAAGAUAACCUGUUAGGGCUAAGAAUAUCAUUUCCUGAUAACAUUGUUUCCCAAGCCAGAACACUAUAUUUAAAAUUAUCUAGCUAGAGGGCAAUUAUCCUGAUAAAGGAUAAUUGAGAGUCAGUGAAACCAGCCUCCUAGGAAGACAGUCUAUUGAGAGUCAGUCUCAUCAUUUGCACUACAGAAAGGACAGCAGUGGGAAUAAUCACAAAUGGAAUGCUCUAGGUCAUGUAAAUGAACCCAUAUGACUAUGACUUGUCAAAGUUAUAUUCUAGGCAUUUCCCAUCCUAUACUGGUUUACAUCUACUUCUAUAUUGGAUAUCAAUUCAUAUCAGAAUUAGGAUCAGUAAAUAGAGUUUUCAGAGUGGCAGAAUUUCGUUCAGUGGGAGAAGAAAACAGGAAAGAUCAGAGUUGUCUACCCACUUAUCCUGAGAAAAUGAGUUCCCCACCACUGAAUGUAUAAAAGGAAAAGUGUAUUUUUCUAUCAGAAAAAAAAAAAA